UUGAUUUGUCUUAAGACAAAUUUGUCCAACCUUGAUCUAAUUUAUAAAAAAAUAUAACAAUAUUUAUAAUAUCAAAUAUAUGCACUAUCAAAGUAUAUUCCAUGGUUGAUUAAAUAAAACAAAUUUGGUAUUGUAGAUGUUGUUAUAUUUUUCUAUAAACUUGAUUAAACUUAAACAAGUUUGACUUAGGACAAACCAAA
rnacentral:pre_miRNA from 1 species